rnacentral:lncRNA from 1 species
GAGAGCUGACAACCUUCUGUGGUAAGGGGUGAACAUCCUUGGGAAGCCACAGAGAGCAAGGCGCAGUUUUUCAUUGAUCACCACUUUCAAGAUGCUCCCAGAAUCGUGCUGUCUAGGAAGCCAUUUAAACUGGUGAGAAGCCAUCCUCUCUUGAAUGGGGGCUCCCACUGUACAUCUGGCACCCACUUCACAGAUUCUGGGGGAUGUCAACACCAGCACUGCUGAGCUGUGUGACCUUGAGCAAGACAGUUAGCCUCUCUGAACCUCAGUGUCCUUCUCUGUAGGCUGGAGAUUGAUAUACCUUCAUUAUCGGGGUAUGAGAGUGUUAUAAGGUGGGAUGGUGGAACACGCUGACUGGUCUGGGCUAUUCAAGAUCCAUGAACUGGAAGAUGCUUUCUUAUAACUCAGAGAAAAGAGAUGAAAAUGAAUCAAAGAACAGGAAGGAGACAAGCUCAGGAGUGUGAAAACGGAUUAAUACGGAUUCCAUUAGCAGAAGCAGUUUUGGUGGGAAAAAGAUGAAGGGUGAAGAGGACUUUUACCUUAAAACAAUGAAGGGUAAGACUCCUGGGAAUUUGGAAGCUGAGACUUGAGGAGCAGAGGCAUUUAGCUGUGUAAACACAGAGCUUCAGUGGCAGCACCCUAAAUGCUUAGCUGAUAGAUCCGGAAUUAAAUACAGACCUAGAAACUGGAGUUGGAAAACUUCCUGGCAGCACUCCUUCCCUGCCAUCCCGGUGAUCCCCUUCUGGAUGGAGGGUGUGGAGCUCAGCACAUUCACGUCUGCAGCCCUGAACUGCUUGUCUUUUGCCUUGUUAUCUUUCCUGGACUGUGAACUUCCCAAGUGAAGAGCAUUGUAUUUGCUACAGACAACCUUCUGUUAUUAAAAGCUUUAUCA